rnacentral:tRNA from 1 species
UUUUGCAAAUCUAAUGGACGGAUUUGAACCAGCUAUCUAAGGAUCUUGAUAAUACAUCUACAGUCCUUCGCUCUGCCAACUGAGCUAUCUA